rnacentral:lncRNA from 1 species
AGCAACCCGGUGCUUAUCAAGGCUGACAUCCAUGAAUGGAGUGAUGGAGAGGAGCUCGGGAAGACAUUACUUCACCUCAUCCACAGAAUUUCUUCUGAAGAAAAUCAAAAUCAAAUGUAGUGACCCCAUAUGCCUGAUGAAGCCUUCAAACUCGUAAUAGAACUUCCUACAACGGGUAUGCCAUUGUGUCAGCGUCCCAAGCCAUUCAUACACUAUCAUAUAUGCAAGCUAUAAAUUAAAAAUUGGCACUGCAUGAUUAGUUUGAGAUAUCGCCAAAUUUAAACCAAAACUAUUGUAUCACCAGCUGUAGAAGGCACAAAAUCCC